UACGUAGGGGGCAAGCGUUGUCCGGAUUUAUUGGGCGUAAAGAGCGUGUAGGCGGCUUUGCAGGUCCGCUGUGAAAACUCGAGGCUCAACCUCGAGCUGUCGGUGGAAACCGUAAAGCUAGAGUCCGGAAGAGGAGAGUGGAAUUCCCGGUGUAGCGGUGAGAUGCGCAGAUAUCGGGAAGAACACCCGUGGCGAAGGCGGCUCUCUGGGACGGUACUGACGCUGAGACGCGAAAGCGUGGGGAGCGAACAGG
rnacentral:rRNA from 1 species